UGGGGAAUAUUGGACAAUGGGCGAAAGCCUGAUCCAGCCAUGCCGCGUGUGUGAAGAAGGUCUUCGGAUUGUAAAGCACUUUAAGUUGGGAGGAAGGGUUGUAGAUUAAUACUCUGCAAUUUUGACGUUACCGACAGAAUAAGCACCGGCUAACUCUGUGCCAGCAGCCGCGGUAAUACAGAGGGUGCAAGCGUUAAUCGGAAUUACUGGGCGUAAAGCGCGCGUAGGUGGUUAGUUAAGCUGGAUGUGAAAUCCCCGGGCUCAACCUGGGAACUGCAUUCAAAACUGACUGACUAGAGUAUGGUAGAGGGUGGUGGAAUUUCCUGUGUAGCGGUGAAAUGCGUAGAUAUAGGAAGGAACACCAGUGGCGAAGGCGACCACCUGGACUGAUACUGACACUGAGGUGCGAAAGCGUGGGGAGCAAACAGGAUUAGAUACCCUUGUAGUCCCUGAGCGGGCUGGCAAGGCGCAU
rnacentral:rRNA from 1 species